rnacentral:rRNA from 1 species
UACGUAGGUGACCAGCGUUGUCCGGAUUUACUGGGCGUAAAGAGCGCGCAGGCGGUCGUUCAAGUCGAGUGUGAAAGCCCCCGGCUCAACUGGGGAGGGUCAUUCGAUACUGAUCGACUUGAAGGCAGGAGAGGGAAGUGGAAUUCCCGGUGUAGUGGUGAAAUGCGUAGAUAUCGGGAGGAACACCAGUGGCGAAGGCGGCUUUCUGGCCUGUUCUUGACGCUGAGGCGCGAAAGCUAGGGUAGCAAACGGG